CUUUAAGAUAGUAAAUGGCUUUUGUUUGAGAUUGCAGAUUCCGGAGCGUGUGUGGUGCCGUCCACGGCGUGUUCUGGGCGGUGCCGUGCCCUGGGGAGGAGCUGCCGUGUGGCCUCUUCGCUGUUUCCCCAUCAUGUGAGUUGUGUUUUUGUUUUUUUUCAAAAGUCUGAGGUAAGUUCUGUGUUUUGGAACGCCAUGUUGGGUGGUUGUGAUUUGGGGAGAGCAGCACAGGUGGGAGCUGUGGGGGCGCUGACCUCCCCCCACCCCCCACCAGCUGCACGCCUGUCACUGCUCGUCUGAUGCACUUUGCUGCGAGGCUGUGUCAUCCAGGCCCAUGUCCUCCUGGCUUGCUCUCCUGCAGACCACCCUGAGAGUCUCUGCCACAGCCUCAGCCAGACGAUGGUCACGAACCUGCCCCUGCUCGGUGGUGUCGGUGGGCUCACAGGGCUCGGAGAGGUGCUUCCAAAGAGAAGAAAGAAAAGUAGCGAACCGCUCAGCAGAUGUUCACUACCCACUUUUAAUUGGCACCCCCCACCCCGUGCUGUGGGAACUAAAGGCUGGUGCUGCCCAACCUUGAGGUCAAGUUCUAACGUCAGGUCAAAUGACAGGGGGCCAGCACGGUGGCCUCUGAGGACAGGACAGCAGCCGAUGCCGCAUCUGGGACACAGGGCCUCUGCAUGCCGGCCUUUCUGGAUGACUAUGCUGGAAAGAGUGGCCCGGGGGGAAAGGGCAUUAGUGCACCUGGAUUUCCAAUUGUGAUCAGUGUGACUUCAUGCACACUUAGCCCCUGUCAUUAAUGCUGAGUUCCAGCGGGCUUGACCCCAGUAGGACACAGAGGCUGUUCUCUUCUGAAGGCAUGUGGUCCCAAUGACUCAACUGCCCAUUUUGGAGAGCAGGAAGGAGAAUUUGACAGAAUCCCAGAACUGCACCCAUAGACUGUGACUUUAACACAGAUUGGGGCAGGGAGAAGGGUGAUAUUUUAUGUGCUUAUAUUGAAGAAAUAAAGAAAAGGGAGGGGAGAUUUAUUCUUUUAGUUAUCUAAAUGUAGGUCAAAUUCCUGCAGUAACCAGCUCUUUCCUCUUGGCCAGAAUGGCCUGGGGGUUCCAGGAAAGCCCGUCAAUCUCCCCCUCCAUGAAAGAUGGCACCCACGGCUGCAAUCCUACAGCUUUUCAUAGGGCGGCCAGCCCAGCCUUGGCUUCCCCUGGCAGGAAGGCACUUGUAUGGAGAGCUUUUCCCAUGAAGGAGAGGGAGGGCGUAAUGAGGAAGGUUCAGGGGCAGUCCCUUCUCUCCACCUGCAAAUAACCACACCCAGAACCAGAGGCCAAGCUGCUGCAACUCUGGUGUUUGAUGGAAAGCAUGAGCCACGGGCAGGAAAACCUGAACACUCAAAAGGAGUGGGGGAAAUCUCCAAAUCUGACCCAGUCUUGCCUUGACACCAUCGAUUUUCCCUGUCUACUGGGUUACAUAGGAGAACUGCCGGGUAUUUACCUUUUUCUCACUGAUGAAGCUUAAGAAUUCAUUUCAUGUCAGCUGCCUUGGGAUUCUGGACAAGUAACAGCUUAUUUGGGUGACGUCCUUAAAACUCUCCUUGUCUAGUAUUGAAAUACCUGGAAGCAGUGGGCUGUCUCAGCAGCUUUAAAGUUAAAUCUUGGCUGAGAAGUGAUGAUGAUCUAACUCCAACAUUGACAGCUACCUUUCCUCUCCCUCAAGCCAGAAAUCAUGUAAAAAGAGUCCCACCGUGUGGAUGAAUGGAGAGCGUUCUCCCUCACUCCCAGGUACAGGGCUGGUGGCCACAGUUCUGCUGAACCUCUGCAUCUGGCGACUCCUUUCAGUGCCUGCCUGGGUAUUAUCAUUUACAGGACGUGUGCUCUGUAUCUUGUCUGCUUCCUAGAGCAGCUGAGCCACUUUGUGUCUAAUCACUGUCCUUUGUCAUUCUGGGAGCCCCAUAGAGGAGGGAAUGGGGUUCUGCAGGCAGAAGGGUGGGGACCACACUCAGGCCAGAAGCCCAUGCCACCACUCCAGCUCAUCCUGGGGAACCCUGCCCAGCCCCUUACCCGAGUGGCCUGGCUGGCAGCCCUGGCUGAGGGGCCCAUCACGAUAUUGACACUGCUGGAUGACUGGGUGUCACUGGUAUUGCCCCCCUCCGCAGCAGAGAGUCCAGAAAUGACGAGUGCGCUGGAAAAGCUCCUCUUGCCGAAGAGGAAGCUAAGGGUGGAGCUGGUGGAGGAGCCCAGGCUGGAUCUGAUGAGGGCCUCGGCCCGCUCGCGGACACUCAGGUGGUGGUGCAGCUCCUUAGGAAUAUGAGAAGACAGCCCGCCUCUCCAAUCCAGGAUUCGGAUUAGUUAUGAAUUCCUAACUGCUCAUCAGUCAAAUACGAAGACCCGGCAUCAGGAGUGUCCUCUCUGUAGCCAGAGAAUGGCCUCUAAUGCCCCUGCAUUGGCCAACCAGGUCUCUGGCUUCCCUUCUGGGAGCUGUGCAUCUCAACUCGGAUGGGCAUGGUUGUUUGACUUAACUGGGAGGAGGGUGAGAAGGAGGCCAGAGACUGAAAUCAAAUCCAGUUAUCCUCACAUCCCCAAAGGGAACGAUGGCCUGCUGCGAAUGACAGGUAGGUGGUUUCCCUAAAGUGUCCCUGGCAGAGGUGCCCCUCCCACAGUGGUAGCCUUCUUCUUGGGCUUGCUCUCCAGGGAACCCCAGGGGCCUCCUGCACACUGGAUCUCAGGUGCCGUGUCUUAAGGUGAAUGAAAGCUUUGUGCUCCCAGUCCCAGUCAGGGCUGGAGACCCACAUGCCCACACCAUCUGCAUCCAUGAAGGAGGUCAGAAUCAGGGGCGUGGUCGGGUGCAGGGGGCAAGCCCGUGAGUGCAGCUCCUCUCUCAUUUAUGCCACGGGCAUCUUCUAGCAUCUGCUGUUCAUCAAAUGCCAAGGGUGCCAUGGUGUGGGAGCCCUCAGGGAGUUCACACCUACCCAUACCUUCCUUUUCCAAGGCCAAGGGUUCCAACCUGAGGCCCAGGAGUGUAGGUGUGGGGCGAGUUGCUAACCACCAAGGGACACAGAGAUAGGACAGUGGCUCCUGACCUUCCACCACCCAUGAGGAGGCAGCAAGUGUCGUGAACCACAGUGGAAGCUGGCAAGUGCCCCACAGCAGCUUCCAACACAGUGGGAGUAGAACAAAGGUGACAUUUACCUUUUCCAGGGGACAAGAAGGAGAGUGUGGGGUAGGCAAGUUAUCCCUUUCCCACGCCUAUUUUGGGCCUCUCUAGGUUUCUUCCAGGAGAUCCUGCUAUGCUCAGGGUGUCUCCAGAAUUCCCUGCUGCCUGAGGCUUUCCUGGGGCCCCAGAUGCUAGUGUGAAGCAAACAUGCACAUACCUUCCCUCCUUUCGAAUUCGAGUUUGGACUCCAGCCCUGUUCCCAGUGUGCUCCCCAGAGUGGCCAUUUUGCUUGUGUUAUAGGCCUUGGGGUUCCUCAUGAGCUUUACAGGAGUUGCCCAGGAGCCCUCACUGAAGGCAGCUGCCAUGGCAGAGGCUGAGUGUAGAGAUACCUGGGCAGCUCCGGCAGGGCCGCAGGGUGGGAGGGCGGGCAGCAGGGCUGUCCCCUGACAUCCGCCCCACUGGGCCUCAUGCCCGGCACCUUCCCGUAGCUCACUGGGCCCCUCAGCGACUCCAGUCCAAAUGGUCUGGACAGGCGACUGCCCAGCAGUGCUUGUGUUCCUCAUAGGGACCGCUUGAGGAUCUCAUCUGCAUCUGAAGACAGCCUGGCUGCUCUAAGGGUGGGGAAGCUCCCUGAAGGGGACCGUGAGUGCGGUCCUCCCUUCAGGCUGUCAGCUAUCUUUAGGGCCCCCCUUUUCAGAGCCGUAUCACCAAGCAUUACCAGGAGCCUUCAGUCUUGGGUCUCCUGGAGAAGCCUUCCGAAUGGUUGAGUCACAUCCUGUAGGGAUCUGGCAGGGGGAUUGGGGCACCAAGGACAUAAUGCACAUUUCAGGAGAGCCAACAGGAUCAGCAGCUCUUGGCUCCACUGCUCUUGGAUGUGAUAGAACCUGGCUACAGCUGGAAGUCUGAGACCCGAGAGCCUUGCAAUCUCACCCUCUAGGGAAGUUGUAGUGUAAGUGGCUGAGGCCAGGAGGGGUAACCAUCCACUCAUUUCCUCAACCCUUGUCUGCUGAGCUUACCUAAGCAGCCACCCAGCCCAGUACCUUAGAGGUCUCUCUUGGUGCCCCCUGCAGCCAUCUCUGUCCCCACAGGGCCAGGAAGCUGUGGUGACAGGAGCAUGUCAGCCAGGUCCCACACACUGCUGCCUGGCCAUAUGCUGGGGCCAGAAUUCCCUCCAGAAUCUGGGGCCUGCACAGGCCUUUUCCCCAGGGUCCACUUCCAGGGUGAACCUUGGGCCUGCUUGCAGGCGUGUGCACCCCAGAGCGGCAUGUGAAUGAGGUGGCUCCUGUGCACGCCAGCAGCCCCUCACCUGGCAGGAUGUAGGAAGAGCGGGAAGAGGGUGGUGUGGUCUUCAUGUGUGCUCCUGUUGCAGGCUCUGCAGAAGUCAGGGCUCCCCAGCUGAGCAUCCACUGUGGGCUGCACCGUCCCAGGUGCCAGGCAGUGAGCAGCUCAUGGGGAAUUCUGAGCACAUACAAGGGAUGUGCUCAGGCAGUAAUUGGAGGGAGGAGAAAGUGGGGCAGGAGGAGGGGAGGGCCAUGCGGAAGGCUGGCCGGGGUCUCUUGGAUAAGCUGGGAUUUGAUGGGAGACUGCGUGGGUGAGCGAAGGAGCUGCAAGCCUGGGACAGGCACAUCUGACACAGAGGAAGCAGCAGCUGCAGGGCCCUGAGCGGGAGAACGCUGGUCACUUGGGAGGGCGAGCAGGGGCUGUGUGCUGGGGAUGCAGGCCCACAGCAGGGGGUUGAGAGGAGGCAUCAGAGAGACAGCAGGUAGGAUAGGGCCCAGCCUGCAGGGGAAGGGUGUGUGCGGGGCGCCUGUGGGUUUUCCGGGCUGAAUCGUGUUCCCUCCCAAGGUUCCACUGUUGAAGCCCUAUCCUCUAGGACCUCAGGGUGGGGCCUUACUUGGACUCAGGUUGUUGUAAAUGUCAUUAGUGAAGAUGAGGUCAUACUGGAGUAGGAUGGGCCCUGAGUCUAAGAUGACCAGCGUCCUUAUGAAAAGGGGAUGUGUGGACGCAGACAAGCACCUAGGGAGAACAUGACGUGAAGAUGAAGCCGGAGCUCAGGGGUGCUUCUCCAGGCUGGGGGUGCCGAAGAUGGCCGGUAAACCACUGCAAGCUAGGGAAGGGUCCUGGAGCCUGUUCCCCUCCAGCCCUCAGGAGGAGCCAAGCCUGCCCACACCUGCAUCUCAGACUUCCAGCUUCCAGAACUGGCAGACAGUAGGUUCCUGCUGUUGAAGCCACCUGAGCCAUGAGCCACGGCACUUUGUUACGGCAGCCUCAGCAGACUAACAGGUAUAUUCUGAGCUGAAGCCAUCAUUCAACAGAAGAACAGUGUGAACUGGUUUAAGUUUAAAUACAAUCGCUGUGAUGUGCUUUGUGGAGAUUUGUGAGUUGUCAGAGCUGCAUAAAAGACCAGAGAAAAAGAUAGCAAGAGAGAUGGAUACCGAGAGAGGGUUUUUUCUUCUUCGAAGUUGGAAGAGGGUGGCAGGCCUUGUUCCAUCUCCCCUGUCCCACUCCAACUCCAGUGUGGCUAAAAGGGGCCAAGGUACAGCUUGGGCCAUUGCUUCAGACGGUGCAAGCUCCAAGCCUUUGCUGCUUCCAUGUGGUGUUGGCCCUGAGGGUGCGCAGAAGAGUGGAACUUUAGGAACUUCUGCUUAGAUUUCAGAGGAUGUAUGGAAAUGCCUGAUGUCCAGGCAAAAGUCUGCUUCGGGGCAGAGCUCUCAUGGAGAACCUCUGCUAGGGGUAGUGUGGAAGGGAAAGGUGGGGUUGGAGCCCCCAGAGUCUCAAUGGGGUACUGCCCAGUGGAGCUGUGAGAAGAGGGCCACCAUCUUCCAGACCCCAGAAAGGUAGAUACACCAACAGCUUGCACUGUGCUCCUGGAAAAGCCGCAAACACUCAAUCCCAUGCCGUGAAAGCAGCCACAGGGACUGUACCCUGCAGAGUCACAGAUACAGAGCUGCCCAAGGCAUUGGAAGCCCACCUCUUGCAUCAGUGUGACCUGGAUGGGAGACAUGGCAUCAAAGGAGAUUUUGGAGCUUUGAGAUCUAAUGACUGCCCAGCUGGAUUUUGGACUUGCAUGGGGCCUGUGGCCUCUUUGUUUUGACCAAUUCCUUCCAGUUGGAAUGGGAACAUUUACCCAUUGCUUGUACCCCUAUUGUAUCUUUGAAGUAACUAACUUGUUUUUGAUUUUAUAGGCUCGUAGG